CAGUCGCCACGGGAAUACGGAGGGUGCAAGCGUUAAUCGGAAUUACUGGGCGUAAAGCGCACGCAGGCGGUCUGACAAGUCAGAUGUGAAAUCCCCGAGCUUAACUUGGGAACUGCAUUUGAAACUGGCAAGCUAGAGUCUUGUAGAGGGGGGUAGAAUUCCAGGUGUAGCGGUGAAAUGCGUAGAGAUCUGGAGGAAUACCGGUGGCGAAGGCGGCCCCCUGGACAAAGACUGACGCUCAGGUGCGAAAGCGUGGGGAGCAAACAGGAUUAGAUACCCGCGUAGUCCCUGUCUCUUAUAC
rnacentral:rRNA from 1 species